rnacentral:rRNA from 1 species
UGCAGUCGAGCGGCCAGCAAUGGCAGCGGCGCACGGGUGAGUAACGCGUACACAAUCUGCCCUUCCCUGGGGGAAAGUCGCUGGAAACGGCGAAUAAUCCCGCAUUCGACCACUGGGCGGCAUCGCCUGGUGGUGAAAGUCCCGGCGGGGAAGGAUGAGUGUGCGUCCCAUUAGCUAGUUGGCGGGGUAACGGCCCACCAAGGCGACGAUGGGUAGGGGGCGUGAGAGCGUGGCCCCCCACACGGGUACUGAGACACGGACCCGACUCCUACGGGAGGCAGCAGUAAGGAAUAUUGGGCAAUGGGCGCAAGCCUGACCCAGCCACGCCGCGUGGAGGACGAAGGCGCCAAGCAUUGUAAACUCCUUUUGCAUGGGACGAACGUCCCGGACUUGUCCGGGGGUGACGGUACCAUGAGAAUAAGCACCGGCUAACUCCGUGCCAGCAGCCGCGGUAAUACGGAGGGUGCGAGCGUUAUCCGGAAUCACUGGGUUUAAAGGGUACGUAGGCCGGCCCAUAAGUCAGGGGUGAAAGGCCGCGGCUCAACCGCGGGACUGCCCUUGAUACUGUGGGCCUUGAGUUCGGAUGAGGGCGGCGGAAUGGUACAUGUAGCGGUGAAAUGCUUAGAUAUGUACCGGAACACCGAUUGCGAAGGCAGCCGCCCGGGCCGUGAUUGACGCUGAG